rnacentral:tRNA from 1 species
GGAGAGAUGGCCGAGUUGGCUGAAGGCGCUCCCCUGCUAAGGGAGUAUAGGCUUUAACUCCUAUCGAGGGUUCGAAUCCCUCUCUCUCCGCCA